AGUGAACGCUGGCGGUAGGCCUAACACAUGCAAGUCGAACGGCAGCACAGUAAGAGCUUGCUCUUACGGGUGGCGAGUGGCGGACGGGUGAGGAAUACAUCGGAAUCUACUUUUUCGUGGGGGAUAACGUAGGGAAACUUACGCUAAUACCGCAUACGACCUACGGGUGAAAGCAGGGGAUCUUCGGACCUUGCGCGAUUGAAUGAGCCGAUGUCGGAUUAGCUAGUUGGCGGGGUAAAGGCCCACCAAGGCGACGAUCCGUAGCUGGUCUGAGAGGAUGAUCAGGCAGCAGGGGACAAAGAGAGGCACCGGGCCCAUGCGGGAGGCAGCAGUGGGGAGUGUUGGAAAAGGGCCGAAAGCUUGAUACGCCCAUACCGCGUGAGAGAAAAGGGCCUUCUGAUUCUAAAGCCCUUUUGUCGGUAAAGAAAGGAAACACGUUAAUACCCCGCUGUUCUGACGGUGCCCAAAUAGUAGGCACCGGCUAACUUGGUG
rnacentral:rRNA from 1 species